rnacentral:rRNA from 1 species
UACGUAGGGAGCAAGCGUUGUCCGGAAUCAUUGGGCGUAAAGCGCGCGUAGGCGGCCCGGUCAGUCCGUCGUGAAAGUCAAAGGCUCAACCUUUGAAUGUCGAUGGAUACUGCCGGGCUAGAGUCCGGAAGAGGCGAGUGGAAUUCCUGGUGUAGCGGUGGAAUGCGCAGAUAUCAGGAGGAACACCAGUGGCGAAGGCGGUUACCUGGAGCUUUGCUGACGCUGAUGCGCGAAAGCGUGGGGAGCGAUCCGG